CCUACGGGUGGCAGCAGUGGGGAAUAUUGCACAAUGAGCGAAAGCCUGACGCAGCGACACAGCGUGAAGGAUGAAGGUCUUCGGAUCGUAAAGCGCUGUCAGCAGGGAAGAACGGUCACUGUGCUAAUCAGCAGUAAAUUGACGGUACCUUGAAAGAAAGCACCGGCUAACUCCGUGCCAGCAGCCGCGGUAAUACGGAGGGUGCGAGCGUUAAUCGGAAUUACUGGGCGUAAAGCGCUCGUAGGCGGUAUGUCAAGUCAAGGGUGAAAUCCCCGCGCUCAACGGGGGAACUGCUUUGGAAACUGGCAAACUGGAGUGUGUGAGAGGAUAGUGGAAUUCCAGGUGUAGGAGUGAGAUCCGUAGAUAUCUGGAGGAACAUCAGUGGCGAAGGCGACUAUCUGGGACAUAACUGACGCUGAGGAGCGAAAGCGUGGGGAGCAAACAGGAUUAGAUACCCGGGUAGUC
rnacentral:rRNA from 1 species